rnacentral:lncRNA from 1 species
AAAGGAGUUAGUCUAAGGUCACUGGCAAAAACGUGUGUCUCCCAGGCUCACAGUGGGCUGGUCUCACAGGGCCUCGGCAGGCUCCUGGGAAUCUCUGUCUCUUGAAAUCUCUUCUUUCUACCUCUGCUUCUCGUCUCCUCUCUAAAGAUUGGCUUCCUCUGCAACGACUUAACCGAGUCUCUGCGGUGCCACUUCUGGCCCAAUGCUGACUGAGCUCCACACUCUAGGUCCACACUGACUUGAUUCUCAAAGUUGCCUCUCUGCUCCAGUUCUCAAGAGAAACUCUGAUUGGUUGCUAGGCAGCCAGGCCAGGGACUCCUCUGAGUCAGGUGCUUACCCCUGAUACAGACAGCUGAAGAGAAAAAAAUAGUCACACUGUUCACUUCCUAUUCAGGAAGACAGAGGACUGUGAACUGGACAAACAAGAGGAGUCAGCGUGUUGUCAUGGAUACAAAGGUCAGUGUUUGAGUGCGGUCUGUAUGUAAAUGUGGGUGUGGUGAUUAUUAACCACAACCUAGAAACCGCUUCCGGUUCUCUGGGCUUCAGUUUCCUCCUGUUGACAAUGAGGAUAACAGGUACACCGGCUGUUCAGGGUUGCGUGGCCAUGCGAUGAUGUCCCUGUAAAUCACAGGGCACAAAGCUGGACGCGUGGCAAGGGCUCCAUCGGAUUGGCCACUUACGUUUGCUCUAAGACGUACCUGGUAAGAAACAGAGGCUGCGAUCAGCCUAUGCCAUA